rnacentral:snRNA from 1 species
UGAUGUGAGGCGAUCUGGCUGCGACAUCUGUCACCCAUUGAUUCGCUGAUCUGGCUGGCUAGGCGGGUGUCCCUUUCCUCCCUCACCGCUCCAUGUGCGUCCCUCCGGAAGCUGCGCGCACGGUCAAAGAAGACAGCCUUCCCCGAAUAGAGACUGGUCUUCGGUGGAGGGUUUACAAGUAGCUGCUAGAACCUUCAAACAAGCUCUCAAGUGUAUCCAAUCUCUAGAUGCCACAUAUGAGUGAAACAAUCUGUUAGUUGUCUUUCAUCUCUU